AUGGUCGAAAAAUACUUUUCUUCUGCGGAGAAGCUUCCGAAGCGAUUCAAGUUUGAAAACGUUAUUAGACAAGAUAAAGAGCAUUAUGAAGAUAAGAUAUAACUUCUUAACAUUUGUGUUGUCCUUGUUAGUUGUUUUUAUUGAGACAAUUUGUAAUGAAUUACAUUUCUUUUAUAGGUGUGUGUUAGGCAUUUUCUUAAACAAACAAGUGGAGAGUUAACACUAAAGUGGAGUGAUGAAAUUGAUGAUAACGGUGUAAGAGAGGAUUAGUUCAUGACAUCCGUCAUGAUUGUGUAAAUAGAGGAUUUUGGGAUGUUAUUGAUGAACCUCCCAGCUACAACAAGGAUGAAGCGUCCUAAAUCUUACCCCGAAGCAGAUGCUGAGAGUUCUAAAAAGAACAA
rnacentral:lncRNA from 1 species